UUGCUGUGAUAAGACACCAAGACCAAGGCAACUUGCAGAACAAAGGGUUUAUUUGGACUUGUGGUUCCAGAGGGAUAGGAGUGCCUGGAAGCAAGCUGUCCGUGGCUGCCAGAGCAGCAAGCUGAGGGAGGGCUCACAUCUUGGAUUGAAAACACUGAACAGAGAGAGCAAACUAGAAAUGGCAUGGGUCCUUAAACUCUAGAAGCCUGCCCCCAGUGAAUGCUUCUUCUAACAAGGCCACAUCUUCUAAAUCUCCCCAAAUAGUUCCACCAACUGGGGACCAUAUGCUCAAAUAGAUGAGACUAUAAGGAACAAUUUCAUUCAAACCACCACAAUUUGUGUUUUGGAGGUUAUGUGCACAGGGGUACAGGUGCCAAGGGAAGCCAGAGAGAGCACGGGAUCUCCAGAAGUUAGAGUUACAGGUAGUUGUAAGCCACCCAAUGUGGGUGUUGAGAAUUGAACUUGAGUCCUUGAAAGAGCAGACAACACUAAGCCACCUCUUCAGUUCCUUAUUACAUUUUUUUCCCCUUGCUUGAUGUAUACCUAAGCCUUGAGAUUGCCAGGUCUACAAUGGCAAGAAGCACACCAGUCCCAGCAGUGCCUGCCUACACAGUUCACUUAACUCAUACUUUAUUCCAAGCAGCCGAAGUGGGUGUCUCCUAAGGAACCCAGGCUACAGAGUCUCCUGUGCAACUCAGGCUGGCCUCCAGCUUGUCAUCCUCCCUACUUCUGAUUCUCAAGUGCUGGGGACACAGCUCUUCAGGUACACAAGGCUUGUGAAGCAGUUCUGCAGAGCUGGGGAGCUGAGAAGCGUGCCUUCCUGGUAAAAGUCACUUCUGCAUGGAAUCGUCUGCAGUUUUCCCCAGAGUGAAGCCAUUUGGUGAGCUGGCUUAGCCUGCCCUGCCCGGCACAGAUCAUGUGCACUUAUGUUUGUGUAUGACCUUUUAUUGAGCACCCACUGUGUGCCACAGUGUGCCAGUGAUUUAAAAGACCAUGGCAGAUAUGUUAGAUUGGCCCACUCUGCCUUUCUCCCUUUCCUCCCUAUUAAAAUGUUUAUUUUAUAUUGUAUUUUGCAAUGCUGGGUAGAACCCACAGCUGCGUCCACAGUCGGGGAGCCAUCUACUACUGAAAUAUCCCCUUCCACAUUGCUUACCUUCCUCUUCUACACAGCCUGGAAAUCUGUGCUGUAACAUUCCCAGUGCUCUGAUGGCGAUCGCAUGAUACAAGUGAUGGUAUAUAAGCAAAAAUUCAUAAAAAGCAUUUCUUCCUAACUCAAAAGAGAAGGCUUUGAGAAGAGCAAACCCUGAUUUACGUUCCUGCCUUUCUCCUCCUGCCUGUAAUACAGAUGCGAUGCCUUGGCAGAUAGCAGCCAUUUUGCAACCACGAGGCAAGGCACUCCAUCAGGUAGGCUAAGGAUGGAGAGAAUGGAAGAUUCAGUCUAGCUCCUGGUGCAAGCCUGGUUUUCAUGGUAAAUACAAUCAGUAUUUCAAGACAUACCAUUGAAGGUGUUUCCCUAAUAUGGAUCAGGAAGGCUAGCUGAGCUUUCAGGGGAGCAACUCACUUGUUGUGUGGCUUUCCUACCCACACAUGACCUUCGUGCCAUGGCUAAGGGAUGGGCUGAACAACUGGACAGUCAGUCACACUGAUCCCUGACCCUUACCUGACUUGCCAGAACACGGAAUUCCAUCGUGUGACUCAUAGCCAGGCUCUCGGUGGCUAACCAGCCUGGUGGUGGUUUGCUCAGCCUCACAGAACAAUGUUUCCUUGUUUUAACUCCUGUGCUGUGCCUAAGACAUGAGAUCUGAUGCCGUGAAGAAGGUCAUGCCGGCUGCCUGCAGCCUGCCAGCUUUCAGACCAUGCUACUCAUCAGUUAGGAGUUAUCUCUUAUUUCAUCUUAUCAUUAUUCUAAAUUAUUUAUUUCUAUUUUUGGCUUUUUGUGUAUGAGGUUUCUGCUUCCAUGUAUGGAGUGCCCACAGAGGCCAGCAGAGGUCAUUGGAUCCUUUGGAACCAGAGUUACAGAUGGCUGUGAACUGCCAUGUGUCUAGUGAGAACUUAUCUCCGCUCUGCUGCAAGGACAAGUGCUCUUCGCCACUGGGCCGUCUCUCUGGCCCCUAUUUUGUUUUAAAAUUACAUAUACCUGAAGGUAUCUGUGUGUGCAUGUACACAUAAGUGCAGGUGCCUAUGGCAACCAGAAGAGGGCAGCAUAUCCCAGUGGAUUUGGAGCCUUCUGAAGUGGGUACUGGGAACAGAACUCUAGACCCUUUUAUGCACUAUUAAGUGUUGAGUCAAUUCUCCAGUCCUAAGAGUUAGAAGUUGGCAGAGAAGAAAUCUCUGACCCAUGUGCCUCUUGAUUUGUGAAUCAAGUAAAAUGGGCCGUGUGCAAAGGUCAGGCUGCACGGGGUACAGUGCUAUUCUAGCUGGAGAAGGGAAGUCUUCCAGGUUGUGGCUCAGGAGGACUAGGGGCUCUGGCCAGGUGGGGUGCAAAGGCAGGCGUGCAGAACUACAAAAGAAACACUGACUUUUCUUCUCAGAUCCCAGGAAACACAGUAAGUGCUCUUUCUCUGAAGCCUAUUGAAAGGCUGUUCCCACUAGUCAUCUCCACACCCUCCCCCCUGCCCUGCAUUCCUGCGCCCCUGUGCCCCCACGUGCAUGCCGUUGAAUCUGCCCCCAUUCCCACCUCACCCCACCCCACCCCUGUCUCUUGUCCAGCCUCCUGGCUGGGGCCUUAAAAACCAUUGCUUCUGAACUGCUGCCUCUCCCUCCAACUCCAGCCUGGCUUGGCUUUCCAAACCAAAACUUUCCCGUAAGCAAAGUUAUUUAAGGGUCCGUGAACACACAGGAAGCCCUUGGAUUGCAAACACAUGUGGAGCAAUGGAUCCAAUUACUCAGGCUGCGUCAGAGAGAGGCCCCUGCCUGAGCCAGGGAGGGGUGGGGACUUGUUUCUGACCUGGGCCAGCUUGGGAUGGGUUCAGGCUGGGAGAGAUUUCUAAUUCAGCUCUUGUGGUAAUGUCUUUCCUGCCGUCUCUCAGCAGGUGAAAACCAGGACACCCAUGGUCCUGAAACUGGCUGAUGCUGUUGGGUUCCCCUUGGUCUCCUCCAUGGUCUCCUUGUCUCUAAGUUCUGACAGAACUGCUUUGCUCAGAACCACCCAUUGGAGAGACUUCCUCCCUUGUAUCUAACUGCUUCCACAACCAUCUCAAACUCAGACAUGCUGCGUGGGUCUCUCUGGUUCUGUGCGGUUGCCGCAUGCCUGUCCCACCGAUGACACCAUCCCGUCUUGACGGCUGCAGCUCUCUAUUUUGAUAGCCUCCAGCAGAAGGCAUGACCCAGAUCUAGACUGUGUUCCUCACAGUCCAGAUCAAAGGCUUGUUGUCUUCCUGCCUCAAGAUCUGGAUCACAGCCUGACUGGAUCUUCAAUCAGCGGAGAGAUGAGCUGCUGGAGAAUUUUAUUAACCAGAUUAUUUGAAGGGGGGCAGCCUACCCUGAGUGAGAGUGGUACCGUUCUAUGGCAGUCUAGAUUACAGAGGGACAGAAGGCAGAGCUUUGCUGUUUUCCCAUGGCUUCACAUCUAACGGGUGAGUUGAGUUCACGUACUUCUGUUGCUUCCACUGCUGACACUGUCUGCACCCCGUCAGUGAUUUCAGAACCCAGCUCUGUUGACUGGAGGCUAGGCUCAGCCUUUCUGCUAUGUCGAUGGUGGCCGUUGGACUAUCCAAGACUGUAUCAUACAAGCUGAAUUGAUAAAUAGCCUCUGCAUCAAUUCCAUCAGCUCUGUUCUCCCAGAGAACCCCGAGUAGUACAGGAAUAAUAAUAACCCGACAAAACAGGACACGGGGAACUUGUUUACUGUCCUGCCUGUGAGGACACAGCCGGAGACUGCCAUCUGUGAAGCAGAGAGCAGCCAUCUCCAGACGUCUGCGGAAUCUGCUGGUGUUUUGAUCUUGUACUUCCCAGCCUCCCAGACCAUGAAAAAUGGAUUCCACCCUGGCCGAUGGGUUUUACUACAACAUCCCAAAUGAGCUGAGCCAAAGUCCUGACCGUGCUUUGUUACAGUUACACCCAAAAAGUUGUUGUUUUGUUUUGUUUUCAUUGAGUGACUGUAAAGAUGGCCGUUGUUUUGUUCAGGUGCCCAGGUAUUCUCCAGUAGCAGAUAGAAGCAUAAUGCAUUUAUUUUGCCACUUGAAACAUUGUUGGAGCCACAGGUUGGAAGAGUUUCAGAAGUUAUUACCACUACGUCAUGUGCAAAGCAGACUUCUCUCUUUUUCCUGUCAGAUACUUUUUGUCUUAUAUGUUGCUCUUGUAUUGAAUUGCCUCUAGUCCUGUGCUGGAAAAGAAUGAUGAGAGAAAAAUAUUUUUGUUGGGCUC